CAGGACCACGCUCUCCCCGACGGUGACGUCCAGCGUGGAGGCCAGCGUGGUGAUGACGCCCAGACAACAUGUCUGCGCGAUGAGCCCAUUAUGCAAGGAGACAUUUUCCACCCUGGUCCCGGGAGAAUCCAGAGGAUGGGAGGUAUCAAUAAUUCACAGGAGGCGAUUAUUUUGAACACGGCGAGAUGUCCGAACGCACUCGUGUAAUCCCAAAAAACACAGGUGUGUAUUUUUUGGGGGGGAGAUCAAGCCUCAGAGGACAGGGGCUGCACAGCGUUGAUCCUCCCUGCUCUCCACCAAGAUGAAAGAGACAAAUAACAUCAGUCACAGAGCAGCUAUCACGAGGCGCUGUGAAGUGGAAAUCGCAGGAGAAGAGCCUGGUCCAAAUUGAAAGCCUUAUGUUUUGUGUUUGUUGUAUUUGUGAUUUCCUUACGUUCUCUCUGAGACGAUGUUAACAGAUGCACACUUUGCCUUUUUGCAAGCUUCCUUACCAUAAAAAAACAAACACUUGAAA